rnacentral:rRNA from 1 species
UACGGAGGGUGCAAGCGUUAUCCGGAUUUACUGGGUUUAAAGGGUGUGUAGGCGGACUAUUAAGUCAGUGGUGAAAUCCCGAGGCUCAACCUCGGAACUGCCUUUGAUACUAUUAGUCUUGAAUGUUGUUGAGGUGGGCGGAACGGGUCAUGUAGCGGUGAAAUGCAUAGAUAUGACCCGGAACACCGAUUGCGAAGGCAGCCCGCUAAGCAACUAUUGACGCUGAGGCACGAAAGCGUGGGGAUCAAACAGGAGUUAGA